rnacentral:rRNA from 1 species
UUGACGGGGCCCGCACAAGCGGAGGAACAUGUGGUUAAUUCGAUGAUACGCGAGGAACCUUACCUGGGCUUAAAUGUAGAGUGCAUUUUCUAGAGAUAGGAAUUCCCUUCGGGGCUUUCUACAAGGUGCUGCAUGGUUGUCGUCAGCUCGUGCCGUGAGGUGUCGGGUUAAGUCCCAUAACGAGCGCAACCCUUAUCGUUAGUUGCCAUCUGGUAAAGCAGGGGACUCUAGCGAAACUGCCACCGUAAGGUGAGAGGAAGGUGGGGAUGACGUCAAAUCAGCACGGCCCUUAUGUCCAGGGCUACACACGUGUUACAAUGGUCGGUACAGAGGGCAGCUACCUGGUGACAGGAUGCUAAUCUCGAAAACCGGCCUCAGUUCGGAUCGAAGUCUGCAACUCGACUUCGUGAAGCUGGAUUCGCUAGUAAUCGCGCAUCAGCCAUGGCGCGGUGAAUACGUUCCCGGGCCUU